rnacentral:tRNA from 1 species
UCCCUGGAGGUCCAGUGAUUAAGACACUGCAUUUUCACUGCAAGGGUGUGGGUUCGAUCCCUGGUCAGGGAA